GUGCUUGCUUCGGCAGCACAUAUACUUAAAUUGGAAUAAUACAGAGAUUAACAUUGCCCCUGUGCAAGGAUGACUUGCAAAUUUGUGAAGUGUUCCAUAUUUUU
rnacentral:snRNA from 1 species